UAGCCGUAAACGAUACUCGCUAGGUGUCGGCCACGGUGCGACCGUUGUCGGCGCCGUAGGGAAGCCGUGAAGCGAGCCACCUGGGAAGUACGGCCGCAAGGCUGAAACUUAAAGGAAUUGGGCGGGGGAGCACAACAACGGGUGGAGCUUGCGGUUUAAUUGGAUUCAACGCCGGAAAUCUUACCGGGACCGACAGCAACAUGAAGGCCAGGCUGAAGACUUUGCCGGAUUAGCUGAGAGGAGGUGCAUGGCGUAGUCGUGU
rnacentral:rRNA from 1 species